GCACAACCAGUGCUCCUGUGUUGCAGGAACUGUUUUGUGCAAUCACACAGUAGCAUUGCUGUUCCAAACAGCACACUACACUGAACUGAACAUGCCAGUUGUGCCACCUGUGCAUAGCUGUACUGAAUCGGAACAGCAAUGGCACAAGCCGCGAACAAUGGGUGUGAAGCCAGGGCCCAUCAACUCCAUGGUCUUCACCAAGCCUGUACCAAAUAGGAUGGUGCAGACUGGAGUAAGGAGUGGAUUCUACA